AGUGACGCGGUAGAGGAGCGUUCUGUAAGCCUGUGAAGGUGAGUUGAGAAGCUUGCUGGAGGUAUCAGAAGUGCGAAUGCUGACAUGAGUAACGACAAUGGGUGUGAAAAACACCCACGCCGAAAGACCAAGGGUUCCUGCGCAACGUUAAUCGACGCAGGGUUAGUCGGUUCCUAAGGCGAGGCUGAAAAGCGUAGUCGAUGGGAAACAGGUUAAUAUUCCUGUACUUCUGGUUACUGCGAUGGAGGGACGGAGAAGGCUAGGCCAGCUUGGCGUUGGUUGUCCAAGUUUAAGGUGGUAGGCUGAAAUCUUAGGUAAAUCCGGGGUUUCAAGGCCGAGAGCUGAUGACGAGUCGUCUUUUAGAUGACGAAGUGGUUGAUGCCAUGCUUCCAAGAAAAGCUUCUAAGCUUCAGGUAACCAGGAACCGUACCCCAAACCGACACAGGUGGUCGGGUAGAGAAUACCAAGGCGCUUGAGAGAACUCGGGUGAAGGAACUAGGCAAAAUGGCACCGUAACUUCGGGAGAAGGUGCGCCGGCUAGGGUGAAGGAUUUACUCCGUAAGCUCUGGCUGGUCGAAGAUACCAGGCCGCUGCGACUGUUUAUUAAAAACACAGCACUCUGCAAACACGAAAGUGGACGUAUAGGGUGUGACGCCUGCCCGGUGCCGGAAGGUUAAUUGAUGGGGUUAGCGCAAGCGAAGCUCUUGAUCGAAGCCCCGGUAAACGGCGGCCGUAACUAUAACGGUCCUAAGGUAGCGAAAUUCCUUGUCGGGUAAGUUCCGACCUGCACGAAUGGCGUAACGAUGGCGGCGCUGUCUCCACCCGAGACUCAGUGAAAUUGAAAUCGCUGUGAAGAUGCAGUGUAUCCGCGGCUAGACGGAAAGACCCCGUGAACCUUUACUGUAGCUUUGCACUGGACUUUGAGCCUGCUUGUGUAGGAUAGGUGGGAGGCUUUGAAGCGUGGACGCCAGUUCGCGUGGAGCCAUCCUUGAAAUACCACCCUGGCAUGCUUGAGGUUCUAACUCUGGUCCG
rnacentral:rRNA from 1 species